rnacentral:rRNA from 1 species
AGCGAACGCUAGCGGCAGGCUUAACACAUGCAAGUCGAGCGCCAGGUUUCGGCCUGGAGCGGCGAACGGGUGAGUAACACGUAGGUCACGUACCCUAUGGUGGGGAAUACCCCGGGGAAACUCGGAACAAUGCCCCAAAUGUCCGAAAGGCUGAAAGCGCUUCGGCGCGCCAGAGGAUCGGCCUGCGGCCCAUUAUUUAAACCUAGUUGGUGAGGUAACGGCUCACCAAGGGUACGAUGGGUAGCUGGUCUGAGAGGACGAUCAGCCACACUGGAACUGAGACAAGGUCCAGACUCCUACGGGAGGCAGCAGUGGGGAAUAUUGGACAAUGGGCGAAAGCCUGAUCCAGCCAUGCCGCGUGAGUGAUGAAGGCCUUCGGGUUGUAAAGCUCUGUCGUGGGGGAAGAAGUUCUGACGGUACCCCACAAGAAAGCACCGGCUAACUCCGUGCCAGCCGCCGCGGUAAAAC